AUUGAACGCUGGCGGCAGGCCUAACACAUGCAAGUCGAGCGGAUGAAGGGAGCUUGCUCCUGGAUUCAGCGGCGGACGGGUGAGUAAUGCCUAGGAAUCUGCCUGGUAGUGGGGGAUAACGUCCGGAAACGGGCGCUAAUACCGCAUACGUCCUGAGGGAGAAAGUGGGGGAUCUUCGGACCUCACGCUAUCAGAUGAGCCUAGGUCGGAUUAGCUAGUUGGUGGGGUAAAGGCCUACCAAGGCGACGACCCGUAACUGGGCUGAGAGGGUGGACGGCCACAGUGGGACUGAGAUACGGCCCAGACGCCUAUGGGAGGAAGCAGUGGGGAAUAUGGAACAAUGGGCGAAAGCGUGAUGAAGCGACGCAGCGUGGGUGAUGAAGGUUUUAGGGUUGUAAAAGACGUUCGCGAGGGAAGAAGCUUGUUGGGACGGGACCUAGAUAAGAAGCACCGGCUAACCACGUG
rnacentral:rRNA from 1 species